rnacentral:rRNA from 1 species
AGUGAACGCUGGCGGUAGGCCUAACACAUGCAAGUCGAACGGCAGCACAGUAAGAGCUUGCUCUUACGGGUGGCGAGUGGCGGACGGGUGAGGAAUACAUCGGAAUCUACUUUUUCGUGGGGGAUAACGUAGGGAAACUUACGCUAAUACCGCAUACGACCUACGGGUGAAAGCAGUGGAUCUUCGGACCUUGCGCGAUUGAAUGCGCCGAUGUCGGAUUAGCUAGUUGGCGGGGUAAAGGCCCACCAAGGCGACGAUCCGUAGCUGGUCUGAGAGGAUGGUCGGCCACACUGGAACUGGGACACGGUCCAGACUCCUACGGGAGGCAGCAGUGGGGAAUAUUGGACAAUGGGCGCAAGCCUGAUCCAGCCAUACCGCGUGGGUGAAGAAGGCCUUCGGGUUGUAAAGCCCUUUUGUUGGGAAAGAAAAGCAGCAGGUUAAUACCCCGCUGUUCUGACGGUACCCAAAGAAUAAGCACCGGCUAACUUCGUG